rnacentral:rRNA from 1 species
UGAGGAAUAUUGGGCAAUGCCCGCAAGGGUGACCCAGCAACGCCGCGUGGAGGAUGAAUGUCGUAAGAUUGUAAACUCCUGUUAGAGGGGAAGAAUAGUACCGGUUGGACCGGUAUAUGACUGUACCCUCAGAGAAAGCCCCGGCUAACUACGUGCCAGCAGCCGCGGUAAUACGUAGGGGGCAAGCGUUAUCCGGAUUUACUGGGUGUAAAGCGCGUGCAGGCGGUUGGCUAAGUUGGGUGUGAAAGCUCCUGGCUCAACUGGGAGAGGUCGCUCAAGACUGGCCGACUGGAGAGCAGGAAGGGAAGGUGGAAUUCCGGGUGUAGUGGUGAAAUGCGUAGAUAUCCGGAGGAACACCAGUGGCGAAGGCGGCCUUCUGGACUGCAUUUGACGCUCAGACGCGAAAGCUAGGGGAGCAAACG